UGGGGAAUAUUGCGCAAUGGGCGAAAGCCUGACGCAGCGACGCCGCGUGAGGGACGAAGGCCUUCGGGUUGUAAACCUCUUCAGCAGGGACGAAGCGAAAGUGACGGUACCUGCAGAAAAACGCACCGGCUAACUACGUGCCAGCAGCCGCGGUAAUACGUAGGGUGCAAGCGUUGUCCGGAAUUAUUGGGCGUAAAGAGCUCGUAGGCGGUUUGUCGCGUCUGCUGUGAAAUCCCGAGGCUCAACCUCGGGCCUGCAGUGGGUACGGGCAGACUAGAGUGCGGUAGGGGAGAUUGGAACUCCUGGUGUAGCGGUGGAAUGCGCAGAUAUCAGGAAGAACACCGAUGGCGAAGGCAGAUCUCUGGGCCGUAACUGACGCUGAGGAGCGAAAGCAUGGGGAGCGAACAGGAUUAGAUACCC
rnacentral:rRNA from 1 species